rnacentral:rRNA from 1 species
GAUGAACGCUGGCGGCGUGCCUAAUACAUGCAAGUCGAGCGAACGGACGAGAAGCUUGCUUCUCUGAUGUUAGCGGCGGACGGGUGAGUAACACGUGGAUAACCUACCUAUAAGACUGGGAUAACUUCGGGAAACCGGAGCUAAUACCGGAUAAUAUUUUGAACCGCAUGGUUCAAAAGUGAAAGACGGUCUUGCUGUCACUUAUAGAUGGAUCCGCGCUGCAUUAGCUAGUUGGUAAGGUAACGGCUUACCAAGGCAACGAUGCAUAGCCGACCUGAGAGGGUGAUCGGCCACACUGGAACUGAGACACGGUCCAGACUCCUACGGGAGGCAGCAGUAGGGAAUCUUCCGCGAUGGGCGAGAGCCUGACGGAGCAACGCCGCGUGAGUGAUGAAGGUCUUCGGAUCGUAAAACUCUGUUAUUAGGGAAGAACAUAUGUGUAAGUAACUGUGCACAUCUUGACGGUACCUAAUCAGAAAGCCACGGCUAACUACGUG